rnacentral:rRNA from 1 species
UGGGGAAUUUUGGACAAUGGGGGCAACCCUGAUCCAGCCAUGCCGCGUGUGUGAAGAAGGCCUUCGGGUUGUAAAGCACUUUCAGCGAGGAAGAAAGCCUGGUGGCCAAUACCCACCAGGGAGGACAUCACUCGCAGAAGGAGCACCGGCUAACUCCGUGCCAGCAGCCGCGGUAAUACGGAGGGUGCGAGCGUUAAUCGGAAUUACUGGGCGUAAAGCGCGCGUAGGUGGCUUGAUAAGCCGGUUGUGAAAGCCCUGGGCUCAACCUGGGAACGGCAUCCGGAACUGUCAGGCUAGAGUGCAGGAGAGGAAGGUAGAAUUCCCGGUG